UGCAAGUGGAGCGACGAACCGGGGCUUGCCCCGGGGCAGAGCCGCGAACGGGUGAGUAACACGUGGGUAACCCACCCCGAUGAUUGGGACAACCCGGGGAAACUCGGGCUAAUACCAAAUGUGCUCGUAGACCAUGAGGUCCAUGAGUAGAGAUAGCUUCGGCCUUCGCAUCGGGACGGGCCCGCGGCCCAUUAGCUUGUUGGUGAGGUAACGGCUCACCAAGGCGACGAUGGGUAGCUGGUCUGAGAGGACGAUCAGCCACACUGGGACUGAGACACGGCCCAGACUCCUACGGGAGGCAGCAGUGGGGAAUCUUGCGCAAUGCGCGAAAGCGUGACGCAGCAACGCCGCGUGGAGGAAGACGGUCUUCGGAUUGUAAACUCCUUUCAGUUGGGACGAAGCUCAACGGGUCAAUAGCCCGGCGGAGUGACGGUACCUUCAGAAGAAGCCCCGGCUAACUACGUGCCAGCAGCCGCGGUAAUACGUAGGGGGCUAGCGUUGUCCGGAAUCAUUGGGCGUAAAGCGCGUGUAGGCGGUCCGGUAAGUCCGCUGUGAAAGUCGAGGGCUCAACCCUCGAAUGCCGGUGGAUACUGUCGGGCUAGAGUGCGGAAGAGGCGAGUGGAAUUCCUGGUGUAGCGGUGAAAUGCGCAGAUAUCAGGAGGAACACCAAUUGCGAAGGCAGCUCGCUGGGACGUUACUGACGCUGAGACGCGAAAGCGUGGGGAGCAAACAGGAUUAGAUACCCUGGUAGUCCACGCUGUAAACGAUGGGCACUAGGUGUGGGGGGUGUCGACUCCCUCCGUGCCGAAGCUAACGCAUUAAGUGCCCCGCCUGGGGAGUACGGCCGCAAGGCUAAAACUCAAAGGAAUUGACGGGGACCCGCACAAGCAGCGGAGCAUGUGGUUUAAUUCGACGCAACGCGAAGAACCUU
rnacentral:rRNA from 1 species